CCGUUGACUUACCCGCGGGCCGGGACAAAGAUUGGCUAAAAGAAAAAGGAGAAAUUUGAUGAGUGAUACCAUAGGAAAAUGCUCCAGGAAGACAAGAAGAGAUUAAGUGAGUUGCAAGAGAUUCCCCACAAGCAAAUGAACACCAAAGAUUUUGGGCAACUACCACAAACUAAAAGGAGACAAGAAAAGAUCUUCCUGAUGUGCCUUUAGAAAGAGCCUGGCCCCAUCAACACCUUGAUUUUUGAGAUCUGACUUCCAGAAUUGUACUCAGUUUAUGUCACACCAGAGCCAGUCAGCAUUGCCCAUCUACUCUCUCCACAAGCCUUCGCCACUUCCUUUAUUUCCCAUCUAGAAGGCUGACAUUGCCUGCUGGUCCUGUGGCUGCCACUUCCCAACAUCCACACAAGCCAGUGUCUAUCAGCACUAUUGACCUCACCAGCCAGAUGAGCCCAGCGAAGCUGUCACUUCUCCAGGACUGCUUGAUAACGUGCCUGGAGUCAUGGUGGCUUUCAUGGGCCCUGAGAGGACCUCACUCAAUGAAAGUCAAGGAAAUACCUCAUAAAUUGUCUUCCUUUCUCCAUGAACUCUAGGAACUGUCCUUUUGGAUAAAUUAUUUGGGACCCAGUAACAUAUUACUUUUCUUGCAAAGAAGGCUGUGAACAGCUCAGAAGUACACUCCCUGGAGGUUUAGCUAUUCUUCUUUGCCUUACUUUUCUUUUUCCCUUCAAAUUUACUUCCCAAUGAACUUUUGAAUCAAAUUUUAUUUUCCAGGAAACCUGAACAAAAGCAGUGCUUGAAAGAUUUUACUUGGAUAACAUGGUUACCAUUUUUGCUACUUAAAAGAGUUCAUAGAUGAUUUAUUUUUGAGGUAGUGGCAAUAACUUUUGACCCUAGAAGUUCCUCAUAAUAUUGAACAAUAAAAAACAACUGAGUGACAGAGCAUCCCAGUUUGUCCAGGACCAAGGGAAUUCCCAGGCCUGGGACUUUCAUUCUAAAGCUAAUGUCCUGGGAAAAACAGAGGAGUUGAUCACUCUGGAAAAUAAUUUUGAGAUAUUUACAAAAACAGCUCUACCUCCAACAGACACCACAUAGGAAUGAUUGGUGGAAUAUCACAAAUAUAAAACCAAAUUGUAUAUAGGAAGAUAUGGAAGAAAGAGAAAUCUCCAGAUGGCAAAAAUUAAAGAAACUAUCUAAAAUAGAGAGACAAAGAAUGGAAAACUGAAAAGAUAUUAAGAUAUAUAAGAUAAGAGUUCCAAGAUCUAUCUAUCUAUCUAUCUAUCUAUCUAUCUAUCUAUCUAUCUAUCUAUCUAUCUAUCUGUAUGGAAAUAUAUAUAUAUGGAAAAUGAAGCAAAGUUUGAAGAGAUAAUAGAUGACAGUAUUUCAAAAUUGAAGAAAUAACAAAAGUUUUCAUUGAUACACUAUUUUAACACAUAACUAGUUUAAAAAGGAAAAGAGCCACAGCUAUGUAUGGCAUAUUGAAAGUGAAACAUCAAAGUUAAAGAGAAAAAAUUUUAAAGUAUUUUUAGUAAGAAAUUAAAUGUAGAAGGGAAAACAUGACAUAAAAGCAAUUUAAAGGAAAGAAAAAUGUCAAAUUUAUCUGGGCAUUUCCUUGCAAAUGAAGUCAUUCCUUGAAUAAUUCUUAGGGCAUACAGAUGAUGAAAAAUAGGCAAAAUAGCUUGUUAAAUAAAACAACCCCAAUUUAUGAAACUCAUAAUGGUGAUUAAAGUUAUGCCAGCAACUUCAAAUGCAUGCUAAGGAAAAAUGGGAAUUGGUGUUAGAGAGGAAAUGACCUUAAGUUUUUACUGUACUCUCUCUUGCCUGGUAGUAUGGUGCUAGUAUAACCUAAUGUGCAAAGCUUGGUACCCAGUGAUUCCAAUAGAUAGCAUGCUUCAGAACACUGAUAAUCAUAGUUGGAACAUAAAAUCUGGGAAAACACAUAGAAAGAUGGUAGAUUUCAGGGAAGCUGGUUCACUCACUUGCAACAUCAGAUUAUGCACCAGUUUCACUGAUGUAUAGACAUCUCUCAAUUAUCUCUUGUUUUAUUGAUAUCAGUCAUUCUAACAGUAUGUGGUGAUAUAUCAUUGUGACUUUGAUUUGCAUUUCCCUGAUUAUUAGUGAUGUUGAGCAUUUCUUCAUACUUGUUAGCCAUUUGUACAUAUUCUUUGGAGAACUAUUUAGUUUUUUGUCCGUUUUAAAGUUGGGUUAUUACUAUUAUUAUUAUUUAAUAUUUAGUUGUAGGGAUUCCUUACAUGUUCUAGAUGUUAAAUUCUUAGUUUGAAAAUAUCGUCUCUCAUUACCAAAGUUGUCUUUUUACUUUAUUGACUCUGUUUUUUCCUUUGCUGUGCAGAAGCUUUUUUAUUAUUCAUUAAG